rnacentral:rRNA from 1 species
AACGAACGCUGGCGGCGCGCCUAACACAUGCAAGUCGCGCGAGAAAGCGGGGGCAACUCCGUUAGUAAAGCGGCGCACGGGUGCGUAACACGUGGAUAAUCUGCCUUCGGGUCCAGGAUAACCUUCCGAAAGGAGGGCUAAUACUGGGUAAGCCCACGGGGACCUCGGUCCUUGAGGGAAAAGGUGGCCUCUGUAUACAAGCUAUCGCCUGGAGAUGAGUCCGCGGCCCAUCAGCUAGNGGCGGGGUAACGGCCCACCAAGGCUUUGACGGGUAGCUGGUCUGAGAGGACGAUCAGCCACACUGGAACUGAGACACGGUCCAGACUCCUACGGGAGGCAGCAGUGGGGAAUCUUGCACAAUGGGCGAAAGCCUGAUGCAGCGACGCCGCGUG